GAUGAACGCUGGCGGCGUGCCUAAUACAUGCAAGUCGAGCGAACGGACGAGAAGCUUGCUUCUCUGAUGUUAGCGGCGGACGGGUGAGUAACACGUGGAUAACCUACCUAUAAGACUGGGAUAACUUCGGGAAACCGUAGCUAAUACCGGAUAAUAUUUUGAACCGCAUGGUUCAAAAGUGAAAGUCGGUCUUGCUGUCACUUAUAGAUGGAUCCGCGCUGCAUUAGCUAGUUGGUAAGGUAACGGCUUACCAAGGCAACGAUGCAUAGCCGACCUGAGAGGGUGAUCGGCCACACUGGAACUGAGACACGGUCCAGACUCCUACGGGAGGCAGCAGUAGGGAAUCUUCCGCAAUGGGCGAAAGCCUGACGGAGCAACGCCGCGUGAGUGAUGAAGGUCUUCGGAUCGUAAAACUCUGUUAUUAGGGAAGAACAUAUGUGUAAGUAACUGUGCACAUCUUGACGGUACCUAAUCAGAAAGCCGCGGCUAACUACGUG
rnacentral:rRNA from 1 species